rnacentral:rRNA from 1 species
UGAUGCUACCUAAAUACCCUAAAGGCACCAGAUUCCAUUUGAUUUUAUAAGCUAAGCAAGGUCAGAUCUGGUUAGUACUUGGAUAGGAGACUGACAAUGAACACCAGGUAGGCUUGAU